UGGAAAGGCGUGCGAUACAGGGUGACAGCCCCGUACACAAAAAUGCACAUAUUGUGAGCUUGAUGAGUAGGGCGGGACACGUGGUAUCCUGUCUGAAUAUGGGGGGACCAUCCUCCAAGGCUAAAUACUCCUGACUGACCGAUAGUGAACCAGUACCGUGAGGGAAAGGCGAAAAGAACCCCGGCGAGGGGAGUGAAAAAGAACCUGAAACCGUGUACGUACAAGCAGUGGGAGCACGCUUAGGCGUGUGACUGCGUACCUUUUGUAUAAUGGGUCAGCGACUUAUAUUCUGUAGCAAGGUUAACCGAAUAGGGGAGCCGAAGGGAAACCGAGUCUUAACUGGGCGUUAAGUUGCAGGGUAUAGACCCGAAACCCGGUGAUCUAGCCAUGGGCAGGUUGAAGGUUGGGUAACACUAACUGGAGGACCGAACCGACUAAUGUUGAAAAAUUAGCGGAUGACUUGUGGCUGGGGGUGAAAGGCCAAUCAAACCGGGAGAUAGCUGGUUCUCCCCGAAAGCUAUUUAGGUAGCGCCUCGUGAAUUCAUCUCCGGGGGUAGAGCACUGUUUCGGCA
rnacentral:rRNA from 1 species